GACGAACGCUGUCGGCGUGCUUAACACAUGCAAGUCGAACGGAAAGGCCCUGCUUUUGUGGGGUGCUCGAGUGGCGAACGGGUGAGUAACACGUGAGUAACCUGCCCUUGACUUUGGGAUAACUUCAGGAAACUGGGGCUAAUACCGGAUAGGAGCUCCUGCUGCAUGGUGGGGGUUGGAAAGUUUCGGCGGUUGGGGAUGGACUCGCGGCUUAUCAGCUUGUUGGUGGGGUAGUGGCUUACCAAGGCUUUGACGGGUAGCCGGCCUGAGUGGGUGACCGGCCACAUUGGGACUGAGAUACGGCCCAGACUCCUACGGGAGGCAGCAGUGGGGAAUAUUGCACAAUGGGCGGAAGCCUGAUGCAGCAACGCCGCGUGCGGGAUGACGGCCUUCGGGUUGUAAACCGCUUUCGCCUGUGACGAAGCGUGAGUGACGGUAAUGGGUAAAGAAGCACCGGCUAACUACGUGCCAGCAGCCGCGGUGAUACGUAGGGUGCGAGCGUUGUCCGGAUUUAUUGGGCGUAAAGGGCUCGUAGGUGGUUGAUCGCGUCGGAAGUGUAAUCUUGGGGCUUAACCCUGAGCGUGCUUUCGAUACGGGUUGACUUGAGGAAGGUAGGGGAGAAUGGAAUUCCUGGUGGAGCGGUGGAAUGCGCAGAUAUCAGGAGGAACACCAGUGGCGAAGGCGGUUCUCUGGGCCUUUCCUGACGCUGAGGAGCGAAAGCGUGGGGAGCGAACAGGCUUAGAUACCCCGGUAGUCCACGCUGUAAACGGUGGGUACUAGGUGUGGGGUCCAUUCCACGGGUUCCGUGCCGUAGCUAACGCUUUAAGUACCCCGCCUGGGGAGUACGGCCGCAAGGCUAAAACUCAAAGGAAUUGACGGGGCCCCGCACAAGCGGCGGAGCAUGCGGAUUAAUUCGAUGCAACGCGUAGAACCUUACCUGGGUUUGACAUGGAUCGGGAGUGCUCAGAGAUGGGUGUGCCUCUUUUGGGGUCGGUUCACAGGUGGUGCAUGCCUGUCGUCAGCUCGUGUCGUGAGAUAUUGGGUUAAGUCCCGCAACGAGCGCAACCCUUGUUCACUGUUGCCAGCACGUUAUGGUGGGGACUCAGUGGAGACCGCCGGGGUCAACUCGGAGGAAGGUGGGGAUGACGUCAAGUCAUCAUGCCCCUUAUGUCCAGGGCUUCACGCAUGCUACAAUGGCUGGUACAGAGAGUGGCGAGCCUGUGAGGGUGAGCGAAUCUCGGAAAGCCGGUCUCAGUUCGGAUUGGGGUCUGCAACUCGACCUCAUGAAGUCGGAGUCGCUAGUAAUCGCAGAUCAGCAACGCUGCGGUGAAUACGUUCCCGGG
rnacentral:rRNA from 1 species